rnacentral:rRNA from 1 species
GUCUACGGCCAUGAGCAACCCCAAUCCAGUCUGAUCUUGGAAGCUAAGCAGGGUCAGGCCUGGUUACUACUUGGAUGGGAGACCACCUAGGAACACCAUGUGCUGUAGGCA